CCUUCCUGAGCCUAAAUUUUCCUCAUCACUUACCAUAUCAUGUAGAGAGAACAAAAAGGAGAUAAAGGAUGUUUUAAGCCAUAAAAAUAUUAUAAAAUGUGAUUUUUAUUUAAUAGUUCAUUUCUCUCUGUAUUAGCAAAUCUAUACAUAAGCCAUUAAAGAUGUUUAAAUCUACAGAGGUAAUUCUUUAGCCUUUUUGGCAUCCUGUGGGGUGGGCAGAGAUGUCCUUUCUUCUUUCCAAUUCUGUUCCAAUAAGUUCAUUUGAAGGGAAAGGGUUAGAAAGAGAUCCUGGGUGAAACUAUUAUCCCAUUCUCUGUCUCUUCUUUAAAAAUUACUGGUUUCCUUCUCCUGGUCUGUUUUUAAAAAGCUCAGGUAGAUCACAAUAGAUUUCCUCCAGGUAACAAAACUCUUUUCCUAUUUCCCUGAUGAAUAAAGUUUUGAAGCAUGUUAAAGUUCAAAAUCAAUAGCUACCCAGAGAAGACGAACAGUUAUAGUACCAGGAGGUCAACAGGAGCCUAAAGAUACCUGCAGGGGAGGGCAUGACCACCCUAUUCAACACCAACCUUAAAGGUUAGGAACAUUGCAGCUUCCUGUAGCAACAAGACAGUUUUGUCUUUCAUAAACUGAAAGUAUUGGUAUUUCCUGCCAAGUUAAUCUUUUGGAGUAAUAGUUCCCUUACAUUUAUUUUAGUAAAUCAGUUUCAAAGAGGACAAGCCAAACAUAGAGUGCAAAGUGAUUCAUAUAAAGUCAUCGAAACUUUCCACUCCUUCCAGCAUCUUGAGUCUCCAGAUUUCAGACCUGCCUUAUAACCCCAAAUUGUGAACAUCAAGUCCUUUUAUCAUUCAUCGUUAGGACAGAAAAGAAAUCUAAUGAUUGGGAAGACUCAGGUUAGAAAGACUCAGGUUUGCUUGUUUCCAGAGGCAGCCUGGGUUUAAAAAUCAAGAGAGAACAUGGUUUCAACCAAGAAGGGAGAAUUAUAGUAAUUAUCCAGACAUUCAAUCUGGCUGCGAGUCUUCACUCUUUCCAAACCACCUCACCUCCUUCACACACGUGCUUCUGCCUCAAAUACUAUAUCCCAGGCAAACAAUUUUAACCAAAAUUACUACAAUAGCUGCUUAUAGUGUUCAAUUUCGUUACAAAGCCUCAGCAAAAACUGAGAAUAAUGUCUCAAUCUUUAAGUUUUAAAUAUUCUCUGCAUGGCUGGUUGGCUAAAUGACUAUAGAGCAAGUGAAAGAGUGUGGUGGCUUUUGGAGAGUGUCUGUUUGGAAUUUUUGUCUCUCUGUGUUUGUAUGUGCAUGAAAACUAAAGUUGUUGCAAAUGUGAAGAUUUCAAGCAUUUUUGAAAAUUUAUUAAUAUAAAUAGGAAAAACUAGCUCAGUCAAAAGCUACAAUUUAAAUUUCCUGGACAUCCAGAGUGUUUGGAAAUGAUCCUAGAGGAGCCAUAACUAGGUAAUAGGAAUUAGGUACACAGAUGGAGGUGGACAUUGGUGGGAAGUCUCAGGUUACCCCCAAACUCCAAAGGAGGCCACUGUUCACCCCAAAGGAUUGCUGACCUUUACUUCAUACACUUCAGAAGCUCUUAACCUACCUGGAAUAAUGAGUGAAAUGCUUGGAAUAUAUGAAGGGUACCAUGCAAAUAUCUAUUUGUUAAAAUAUGGCUUUUGUUUAGUAUUUUGAAUAAUAAAUUCUUUAGUUUAUCAGUACCUCACGGCCUUCAAUGUGCAUUCUUCAGAUAGUUUCAGUUACAUAUACAUUCUUUCUCCUGAACAAUAAAUUAUUCUUAAAAAAAAGAAAAGGAAAAGAUACAUAAUUUUAAAGCAAAGAAAAACAAAAGAACAUAUAUUUUUGACAUUUAUCUUAAACUUAUAUGAAAACAACUCUAUAUGUUAGAUGCUUAAAUAUAAAUAAUAAAGGACAUUAUGUUAUUUACAAUGUUACAUAGUAAGUUGAGAGAGUAAAAACUGACAUUAACUCAAAAAGACAGUAAAUGAUAUAAGAAAACAUCCAAGUAAUAUACAAUAUGUAUUUACAAAAGAAUAUAUAAUAGAACUUGUGAUAUGUGGCCAUUUCCUUCUGCCUACAUUUCUCUUCAGUGUUUCAUAGGUCUUCGCAGAUAGAAAUCUCUGGCUGGUGGAAUGCAGCCAGUAUUAUUAAUACAAGAUAAGACCAGGCCUUCCUUAUUUUCACCAGUGUGAGCCAUGCGCCCUUUAACCCCAGGCCAUAAAAAGGAAUAGUUAGUGAGCAAGUUACCCUGGAUAAACUUCACCUCUAACAAGACAGUCACACUGAAACAAGAAAGUGAUAGCAGGUUUGGGACACAUUCACCUACACAGAGGACCAUUUUGUAGAAACUAGAAUGCUGUCCAGGCACUCUUGGGGGCAAAAGUCACACUAGGCAGGAAGGGAAAGUAAGAUAGAAAGUGAAUCUUAGGUGAAACAAAAGGAGUUUUGCAUGUAUUUGCAUGUAUUAUGCUCCACUGCAUACACCUCAGUGGGAUACGAUUUUAGACCCGGGAAACAAAGUUGCUGUCAAACUCCUGGGCAAUUUCUACUACCUUAAAACCUAAGAUAGCUUUCCAUAUGCUGGGAACAUAAGUUCACACUCCGAUCGCCACUGCACUGUCGGAAUUUAUUAACAGAGGUGGUCAAGAGUGAUGUGACAAGCAUCACAGAGAUACCCCUGUAAACACAAAUCUAGUGGCCUUGGCAGGUGAUGCUGAGCAGUCAGCUGGCCUUUUUUAUGAAGGGUGCAAAGGAUGUCCCAACUAUAAUAAUAUGCCACCUCUGUGAGUGAUCAGAAUCAAGUUAGAAAUACAAUUUCCUCUUGUCUUCAAUUUUCAUAUAUAUUUGCAAUUUUAAAAUGCAUAGCAAUUCUCAUUGUAAGAAACAUGUUGCUCAUGGUUCUCAACAGAAACUUCUAUUUAUUCUUAAAAUUCUUCCACAAUGGGAUAUCUGAGUACCCCAAUGCCCAAAGAAUUUGAAACAGAAUUUUUAGGGUUUUAAAUUCAUGGUAGGAAUUUCUUCAUUGAAAUAGCUAAGGAUGAGUCAAGGCCUUCAAAGGCAAUGUUAAAAUAAUUUAGAGAACUUCAUUGGACUGACUGUCUUCUUCCCCAUGCCGUGAGCUUACUCAUUACUGCAGAAUUGGAAAAUCAGUGCAACCUGACAAAGACUCCUCAGUGUAGGUUAAAAAGCAAAUGAGGAUACCACUGUGCACAGAGAAAGUGGCAUGUGAACAGUGACGAAAAAUUUGAGAUACCAAAUACUAACAAUAACUUCAAGAACCUGCAGACAGGCAUCUCUGUGGAUUGUAGGAGCAUGUGGGAGGGUAACAACAUGACUCAUGCCCAGCCUGCAUUUUUCUGCUAAGACCUACUUGCAUGUCAUUUCUUCUUUUUAAUUGUUAACAUCAAGAUUUGGUGAAGAAAUACAUUCAGUUCACCCGCAAAAAAGAAGCAAUUACUCUCACUGACUUCAUGAAUCCCCCGAUAACCUGUUUCCCAUUUGUCCCAUGGUUCCUAGGAGGCCAUGUGAAUCCUAAGUAAAGCUCCAGCCCUGAUUUCACAGAUAUCAGGCAGGCCAUGAAAUGGGUUCUGUGUUUCAAAUAAUUUUUUUUCUUCCAUUUUCCUGAAUUAGCAGUUAUUUCAAAUGUUAAUACUUAUAGGCCUUCCUUUGGAUUUACCAUCACAAAAGAACAUGCAAUGCUUAGACCAAUCUUAGUCCUACUUUAUGACAGUAAAGCAAAAAUUAAAGGAGGUGGGGGAAAUGGGUGAGAGAGCCUGUAAAUGGAGAGGUCAGGACACAGGUGGGGGUCACUUCUGCAAGUAAAGGUGCAAUCUUUCCAACAGGAUUGACAUUUCCUGAUGAAUCAUUACUUGUGAUUACAAAUCACAUACACAUCGGCCAUUCCUGAUAAAAAAUGUUCAUGCAUAGUUAUGACCUGAUCAAGGCAACAUGGAAAGAUAAAAGAAAAAUAAGGGGGAGAAAGGGGUGGUCAUCCACAUUUUAAAAUUUCAACGGAGUCACUAAGCUUCUCUCCACCUAUACAGUCACUCCUUCUGAACACUCUACGAUGGAAAUACUUCCCUAUGAUGACAAGUCAUCGCUAUGUACAGCAGGCACGUUUGACUCUAGAAGUAUUUCAGACAAAAUGCUGCAUGUGCUGUCUGGGCUGGGCUUUUUGUGCCGUAAUAUGCUUCUUUUUGAGCCAAGAAGACACAACCAAUCACUAGCUUCAAAAUCAGUGAAAAAUACAUGUCAGAAAUGAUUGCACCUUUAUCAGCCGUGUUUUGAUUGUCAACUAGAUAAGCUGCUG
rnacentral:lncRNA from 10 species